UCACGUGCUCAAGGCCCGGGUUCUGACCCGGGUUCACUUGCCUGGUGUCUGCCUUUCCUUAACUUGAUGGGUGACUAGUGAUAAUGAUUAUGUCCUUCCUUCCCAACAGAGGGCCAACCCAUGCUCUAGCUCCUCUGUCCCCGCAGCAGCCUUGCCCAGUUGGGAGGUCCCAGGCCCGGUCCUGGGGACGGCAGACAGCGCUUAGAGUCUUCAUGUGGGAGGCGAGGCUGGACCCCCACAGAACCUGCUGCCCACGUCUGUGCUGUGGAGGUAACUCCAGACCCCAUGCUAAAGACAGCAGUGACCCUGAGCCCCCCAGCCUAAGUGUUUGGGGCUGGUUUGGGCCACACCUGAGGCAUUUGGAAAUUCCCAGGCUAGGGGUUGAAUCAGAGCUGCUGGAUCUGAGCCUUGUCUGCGACCUACACUGUAGUUCACGGCAGUGCGGGCAAACCCGCAUCCUCAUGGAUACUAGUCGGAUUUCUUUCCACUGCGCCACAGCAGGAACUCCCUGUGUGCAAAUAUUUUCACAGUUUCCAUGUGCUCUGUCAGGAGAGAGGUUGAGAAACACCAGAUUCUGUCCUUUCGUCUUGUGGCAGGAUGGUGCUGCAUUGGCCCCACUGCACAGAUAAGAAAACUGAGGCUCCAAGCAAGAGACCCUUACAUGCUACCUCGCGUAUCCCGCUCAGCAUCGUGAGACAGGAAAGAAACCGAAAACAGGGUUUUCCAUGGCCGUGUCACAAGUUCCUACACAUUCGGCAGAUUAAAGCAGGUGCCCUCGUGAUCUCAUCAUUUCUGUGUGUCGGGAAUCUGGGUGGGCUCAGCUGGGUUCCCUGAUCAGAGUGUCCCUGGCCGCAGAUCAGGUGUCAGCUGCCCAGUGGGGUCCUUUCAAGAGCUGGGGGCCUCCUGCAAGCUCGCGGGGUUGUUGGCAGAAUACGGCUCCCUCUGGUUGUAGGACUGAGGUCUCACUUUCUUGCUGACUGUGGGCCAGGGCCUGCUCUCAGUUCCUGGGGUCUGAAGUACCUUUCCAUGUGGCCCCCUCACGGGCCCCCUUAUGGGCCUGCUCAUAUGCUUUGGCAGCCCAUUUCCUGACGGCUAGCGGAGGGCCUGCCUCUCCAGUUUGCUGAGACCGAGCAUCCCGUGAUGUGUUAUGAUCAAGUGAAUGAGCUGAGUGACUAGGCGGUCCCUUUGCUGAAUUCUGUUGACUGGAUGCAGAUCACAGGUUUCAUCUGUAUCAAGGCGCUCUGGCCCCCCUUCCCUGCCCCCGCUGUGCUUAAGACCAACUGUGCCUUACUUGGCUAACGUGGCUGCUGGUACGCCAGUGGCUUUGCUGAGUGGGAAACCGGACUUGAUCUUGCUGCUGCGGGAGGCUGAGCAGAAUGAAAAGGUUGAUUUCUGCUCUGUGGGUCUCCCUUUUUGGAAGGACAGCCAAGGUUCUGAGUUCUGAGUCGACCUCCUUAGGGGAGGAGGCGGGUGAACAGUUCUUUGUGUUUCUUUGGGUCCAUGGAAGGGAGGGCCUGCGGGCUUUGAGGGACGGGCUGGGGCUUGGAUUCCGGGAUCGGUGCCCUCGUGUCCCCCCCAGAUGCAUGGAUGUUGGGGGUGGGCAUGGGGCUGGAUACUGGGGAGUGAGAUACGAGGUGCUACAGACCACAUGGC
ensembl:lncRNA